rnacentral:tRNA from 3 species
GGAGGGGUGUCCGAGUGGUUGAAGGAGCACGCCUGGAAAGUGUGUGUACAUUAACGUGUACCGAGAGUUCGAAUCUCUCCCCCUCCG